rnacentral:rRNA from 1 species
AUUGAACGCUGGCGGCAGGCCUAACACAUGCAAGUCGAGCGAGCGGCGGACGGGUGAGUAAUGUCUGGGAAACUGCCCGAUGGCGGGGGAUAACUACUGGAAACGGUAGCUAAUACCGCAUACCAUCAGAUGUGCCCAGAUGGGAUUAGCUAGUUGGUGGGGUAACGGCUCACCAAGGCGACGAUCCCUAGCUGGUCUGAGAGGAUGACCAGCCACACUGGAACUGAGACACGGUCCAGACUCCUACGGGAGGCAGCAGUGGGGAAUAUUGCACAAUGGGCGCAAGCCUGAUGCAGCCAUGCCGCGUGUAUGAAGAAGGCCUUCGGGUUGUAAAGUACUUUCAGCGGGGAGGCGUUACCCGCAGAAGAAGCACCGGCUAACUCCGUGCCAGCAGCCGCGGUAAUAC